rnacentral:rRNA from 1 species
GUGCCAGCCGCCGCGGUAAUACGUAGGUGGCAAGCGUUGUCCGGAAUUAUUGGGCGUAAAGCGCGCGCAGGCGGUCCUUUAAGUCUGAUGUGAAAGCCCACGGCUCAACCGUGGAGGGUCAUUGGAAACUGGGGGACUUGAGUGCAGAAGAGGAAAGCGGAAUUCCACGUGUAGCGGUGAAAUGCGUAGAGAUGUGGAGGAACACCAGUGGCGAAGGCGGCUUUCUGGUCUGUAACUGACGCUGAGGCGCGAAAGCGUGGGGAGCAAACAG